CCGGCGCACGGGUGAGUAACGCGUAUGCGACCUGCCCGUUGCAGGGGGAUAAUCGGGAGAAAUCCCGUCUAAUACCGCGUAACGCCGCGGGGCUGCAUGGCCCUGCGGCCAAAGGGAGCGAUUCCGGCAACGGAUGGGCAUGCGUGACAUUAGCUAGUUGGCGGGGCAACGGCCCACCAAGGCGACGACGUCUAGGGGUUCUGAGAGGAAGGUCCCCCACACUGGUACUGAGACACGGACCAGACUCCUACGGAAGGCAGCAG
rnacentral:rRNA from 1 species